UACGGAGGGUGCAAGCGUUAUCCGGAUUCACUGGGUUUAAAGGGUGCGUAGGUGGGUUGGUAAGUCAGUGGUGAAAUCUCCGAGCUUAACUUGGAAACUGCCAUUGAUACUAUCAGUCUUGAAUAUUUGUGGAGGUUAGCGGAAUAUGUCAUGUAGCGGUGAAAUGCUUAGAUAUGACAUAGAACACCAAUUGCGAAGGCAGCUGGCUACGCAUAUAUUUGACACUGAGGCACGAAAGCGUGGGGGAUCAAACAGG
rnacentral:rRNA from 1 species